AAGUCGUAACAAGGUUUCCGUAGGUGAACCUGCGGAAGGAUCAUUAGCACGUAUCCAAACGUUAAAACCCCCCCCGUGAACCUUCAUCCUGCUCUUGUAACCCGCGUAGUUCGCAAUCUCUGAUAAAUCAUAGCCCGGAAAGUUGUAGUGAUUCAGAGACCUCUGGCUACGUGCAAACAUUGGAACAGUUACAAUCGAGCGAUAUCCAUUGUUAACAGUUGUUCGGUUUUUUUACCCAAUGUAUUACAUUGAGCUUCACAUUAAACUGUGGGGUUAUUAGGGGGCAUGGGGACCCUACGGUCUACAGGAAUCGUAGAAGCGCUAUCCUUGCAGUUCUC
rnacentral:misc_RNA from 1 species